rnacentral:rRNA from 1 species
AUGAAGUCGGAGUUGCUAGUAAUCNCGGAUCAGCAUGCCGCGGUGAAUACGUUCCCGGGCCUUGUACACACCGCCCGUCACACCAUGGGAGUUGGGAGUGCCCAAAGCCGGUGAGGCAACCUUCGGGAGCCAGCCGUCUAAGGCAAGACCAAUGACUGGGGUGAAGUCGUAACAAGGUAUC